UAUUGCACAAUGGGGGAAACCCUGAUGCAGCGACGCCGCGUGAAGGAAGAAGUAUUUCGGUAUGUAAACUUCUAUCAGCAGGGAAGAAAAAAGACGGUACCUGACUAAGAAGUCCCGGCUAACUACGUGCCAGCAGCCGCGGUAAUACGUAGGGGGCAAGCGUUAUCCGGAUUUACUGGGUGUAAAGGGAGCGUAGACGGCCAGACAAGUCAGAAGUGAAAGCCCAGGGCUCAACUCUGGGACUGCUUUUGAAACUGCCGGGCUGGAGUGCAGGAGAGGUAAGCGGAAUUCCUAGUGUAGCGGUGAAAUGCGUAGAUAUUAGGAGGAACACCAGUGGCGAAGGCGGCUUACUGGACUGUAACUGACGUUGAGGCUCGAAAGCGUGGGGAGCAAACAGG
rnacentral:rRNA from 1 species